rnacentral:rRNA from 1 species
GGUAGCCGGCCUGAGAGGGCGACCGGCCACACUGGGACUGAGACACGGCCCAGACUCCUACGGGAGGCAGCAGUGGGGAAUAUUGCACAAUGGGCGAAAGCCUGAUGCAGCGACGCCGCGUGAGGGAUGACGGCCUUCGGGUUGUAAACCUCUUUCAGCAGGGAAGAAGCGAAAGUGACGGUACCUGCAGAAGAAGCGCCGGCUAACUACGUGCCAGCAGCCGCGGUAAUACGUAGGGCGCGAGCGUUGUCCGGAAUUAUUGGGCGUAAAGAGCUCGUAGGCGGCUUGUCACGUCGGUUGUGAAAGCCCGGGGCUUAACCCCGGGUCUGCAGUCGAUACGGGCAGGCUAGAGUUCGGUAGGGGAGAUCGGAAUUCCUGGUGUAGCGGUGAAAUGCGCAGAUAUCAGGAGGAACACCGGUGGCGAAGGCGGAUCUCUGGGCCGAUACUGACGCUGAGGAGCGAAAGCGUGGGGAGCGAACAGGAUUAGAUACCCUGGUAGUCCACGCCGUAAACGGUGGGCACUAGGUGUGGGCGACAUUCCACGUCGUCCGUGCCGCAGCUAACGCAUUAAGUGCC